rnacentral:rRNA from 1 species
GCUUGUCUCAAAGAUUAAGCCAUGCAUGUCUAAGUAUAAAUAACUACACAGUAAAACUGCGAAUGGCUCAUUAAAACAGUUAUAGUUUAUUUGAUACAUUAAAUGGAUAACUGUAGGAAACUAGAGCUAAUACAUGCCAAGGUCGUAAGACUGCGUUUAUUAGAUAUACCAAGACGGUGAAUCAUGAUAACUUAGCAAAUCGAAACCACGUUUCGAUAAAUCAUUCAAGUUUCUGACCUAUCAUGCUCUCGAUGGUAGUGUAUUGGACUACCAUGGCAGUCACGGGUAACGGAGAAUUAGGGUUCGAUUCCGGAGAAGGAGCCUGAGAAACGGCUACUACAUCUACGGAAGGCAGCAGGCGCGUAAAUACCCAAUCCUAAAUCGGGGAGGUAGUGACAAGAUAUAACAACGCGACUAAAAAUCGCGAUUGUAGUGAGGGUGUUCUAAACAUAGCUUCGAGUACGAUUGGAGGGCAAGUCUGGUGCCAGCAGCCGCGGUAAUUCCAGCUCCAAUAGCGUAUAUUAAAGUUGUUGCAGUUAAAAAGCUCGUAGUUGGACUUCAAGAAGCGCAUCUGGGCAACCAGUAUGCCUUCUACCAGCCCUAGGCUGUUACUGUGAGAAAAUUAGAGUGUUUCAAGCAGGCUAUUGCAGGAAUACAUUAGCAUGGAAUAACGAAUGUGUCUACAAUUUGGUUGAUUGUAGGUUACAAUUAAUAGGGACAGUUGGGGGCAUUAGUAUUUAAUAGUCAGAGGUGAAAUUCUUGGAUUUGUUAAAGACUAACGUAUGCGAAAGCAUUUGCCAAGGAUGUUUUCAUUAAUCAAGAACGAAAGAUAGGGGAUCAAAGACGAUCAGAUACCGUCGUAGUCCUAUCUAUAAACUAUGCCGACUAGGGAUUAGUGCGGUCAGUACCGCAUUAGUACCUUAUGAGGAAUCAAAGUCUUUGGGUUCUGGGGGGAGUAUGGUCGCAAGACUGAAACUUAAAGAAAUUGACGGAAGGGCACCACCAGGAGUGGAGCCUGCGGCUUAAUUCGACUCAACACGGG